UAACACAUGCAAGUCGAGCGGAAACGAGUUAUCUGAACCUUCGGGGAACGACAACGGCGUCGAGCGGCGGACGGGUGAGUAAUGCCUAGGAAAUUGCCCUGAUGUGGGGGAUAACCAUUGGAAACGAUGGCUAAUACCGCAUGAUGCCUACGGGCCAAAGAGGGGGACCUUCGGGCCUCUCGCGUCAGGAUAUGCCUAGGUGGGAUUAGCUAGUUGGUGAGGUAAGGGCUCACCAAGGCGACGAUCCCUAGCUGGUCUGAGAGGAUGAUCAGCCACACUGGAACUGAGACACGGUCCAGACUCCUACGGGAGGCAGCAGUGGGGAAUAUUGCACAAUGGGCGCAAGCCUGAUGCAGCCAUGCCGCGUGUGUGAAGAAGGCCUUCGGGUUGUAAAGCACUUUCAGUCGUGAGGAAGGUGGUGUAGUUAAUAGCUGCAUUAUUUGACGUUAGCGACAGAAGAAGCACCGGCUAACUCCGUGCCAGCAGCCGCGGUAAUACGGAGGGUGCGAGCGUUAAUCGGAAUUACUGGGCGUAAAGCGCAUGCAGGUGGUUUGUUAAGUCAGAUGUGAAAGCCCGGGGCUCAACCUCGGAAUAGCAUUUGAAACUGGCAGACUAGAGUACUGUAGAGGGGGGUAGAAUUUCAGGUGUAGCGGUGAAAUGCGUAGAGAUCUGAAGGAAUACCGGUGGCGAAGGCGGCCCCCUGGACAGAUACUGACACUCAGAUGCGAAAGCGUGGGGAGCAAACAGGAUUAGAUACCCUGGUAGUCCACGCCGUAAACGAUGUCUACUUGGAGGUUGUGGCCUUGAGCCGUGGCUUUCGGAGCUAACGCGUUAAGUAGACCGCCUGGGGAGUACGGUCGCAAGAUUAAAACUCAAAUGAAUUGACGGGGGCCCGCACAAGCGGUGGAGCAUGUGGUUUAAUUCGAUGCAACGCGAAGAACCUUACCUACUCUUGACAUCCAGAGAACUUUCCAGAGAUGGAUUGGUGCCUUCGGGAACUCUGAGACAGGUGCUGCAUGGCUGUCGUCAGCUCGUGUUGUGAAAUGUUGGGUUAAGUCCCGCAACGAGCGCAACCCUUAUCCUUGUUUGCCAGCGAGUAAUGUCGGGAACUCCAGGGAGACUGCCGGUGAUAAACCGGAGGAAGGUGGGGACGACGUCAAGUCAUCAUGGCCCUUACGAGUAGGGCUACACACGUGCUACAAUGGCGCAUACAGAGGGCGGCCAACUUGCGAAAGUGAGCGAAUCCCAAAAAGUGCGUCGUAGUCCGGAUUGGAGUCUGCAACUCGACUCCAUGAAGUCGGAAUCGCUAGUAAUCGUGGAUCAGAAUGCCACGGUGAAUACGUUCCCGGGCCUUGUACACACCGCCCGUCACACCAUGGGAGUGGGCUGCAAAAGAAGUAGGUAGUUUAACCUUCGGGGGGACGCUUACCACUU
rnacentral:rRNA from 1 species